rnacentral:rRNA from 1 species
AGAUUGAACGCUGGCGGCAGGCCUAACACAUGCAAGUCGAGCGGUAGAGAGGUGCUUGCAUCUCUUGAGAGCGGCGGACGGGUGAGUAAUGCCUAGGAAUCUGCCUAGUGGUGGGGGAUAACGUUCGGAAACGGACGCUAAUACCGCAUACGUCCUACGGGGGAAAGCGGGGGACCUUCGGGCCUCGCGCCAUUAGAUGAGCCUAGGUCGGAUUAGCUAGUUGGUGAGGUAAUGGCUCACCAAGGCGACGAUCCGUAACUGGUCUGAGAGGAUGAUCAGUCACACUGGAACUGAGACACGGUCCAGACUCCUACGGGAGCAGCAGUGGGAAUAUUGGACAAUGGGCGAAAGCCUGAUCCAGCCAUGCCGCGUGUGUGAAGAAGGUCUUCGGAUUGUAAAGCACUUUAAGUGGAGAAGGUUGUAACUUAAUACGUUGCAACUUUGACGUUACCGACAGAAUAAGCACCGGCUAACUUCGUGCCAGCAGCCG